UACAGAGGGGGCGAGCGUUGUUCGGAAUUACUGGGCGUAAAGGGCUCGUAGGCGGCCAACUAAGUCAGACGUGAAAUCCCUCGGCUUAACCGGGGAACUGCGUCUGAUACUGGAUGGCUUGAGUUUGGGAGAGGGAUGCGGAAUUCCAGGUGUAGCGGUGAAAUGCGUAGAUAUCUGGAGGAACACCGGUGGCGAAGGCGGCAUCCUGGACCAACACUGACGCUGAGUGAGCGAAAGCCAGGGGAGCAAACGGG
rnacentral:rRNA from 1 species